rnacentral:rRNA from 1 species
UCUUUCUACACAUGUGUUUUUCUUUUUUUUGAAAACUUUGCUUUGGUGGGCCCACGGCCUGCCAGAGAUUAAACUCAACCAAAUUUUUAUUUAAUUGUCAACUUGAUUAACUAAUAGUCAAAACUUUCAACAACGGAUCUCUUGGUUCUCGCAUCGAUGAAGAACGCAGCGAAAUGCGAUAAGUAAUAUGAAUUGCAGAUAUUCGUGAAUCAUCGAAUCUUUGAACGCACAUUGCGCCCUUUGGUAUUCCAAAGGGCAUGCCUGUUUGAGCGUCAUUUCUCCCUCAAACCUUCGGGUUUGGUGUUGAGCGAUACGCUGGGUUUGCUUGAAAGAAAGGCGGAGUAUAAACUAAUGGAUAGGUUUUUUUUUUCCACUCAUUGGUACAAACUCCAAACAUUCUUCCAAAUUCAACCUCAAAUCAGGUAGGACUACCCGCUGAACUUAAGCAUAUCAAUAAGCGGAGGAAAAGAAACCAACAGGGAUUGCCUUAGUAGCGGCGAGUGAAGCGGCAAAAGCUCAAAUUUGAAAUCUGGCACUUUCAGUGUCCGAGUUGUAAUUUGAAAAAGGUAUC